UGGGCGUGUAGCUCAGUGGUAGAGCACUGUGUUGACAUCGCAGGGGUCGCAAGUUCAAUCCUUGCCACGCCCACCAU
rnacentral:tRNA from 1 species